rnacentral:rRNA from 1 species
GACGAACGCUGGCGGCGUGCCUAAUCCAUGCAAGUAGAACGCAGUUGCUAACGGGUUCGUAACGCUUAUAUAACUUCCUCAUUUCGGGGGAUAACUAUUGGAAACGCUAGCUAAUACCGCAUACUGUGAGAUGGACCUUCGUUGUAUUAUCUAGUUGGUGAGGUAAAGGCUCACCAAGGCGACGAUACAUAGCCGACCUGAGAGGGUGAGGGGCAAAAAUGGGACUGAGACAACGCCCAGACUCCUACGGGAGGCAGCAGUAGGGAAUCUUCGGAAAUGGACGGAAGUCUGACCGAGCAACGCCGCGGGAGUGAAGAAGGUUUUCGGAUCGGAAAGCUCGGUUGUUAGAGACGAGGUAACUAACCAGAAAGUGACGGCUAACUACGUGCCAGCAGCCGCGGUAAUUC